rnacentral:rRNA from 1 species
GACAGAGGGGGCAAGCGUUGCUCGGAAUUACUGGGCGUAAAGGGCGCGUAGGUGGCAUGAUAAGGGUGUGGUGAAAGCCCGGGGCUCAACCCCGGGUCUGCCAUGCCGACUGUCACGCUAGAGUACUGUAGGGGCAGGCGGAAUUCCGGGUGUAGCGGUGGAAUGCGUAGAGAUCCGGAGGAAGACCGGUGGCGAAGGCGGCCUGCUGGGCAGUUACUGACACUGAUGCGCGACAGCGUGGGGAGCAAACAGG